UGUUCGAGCGGCGACUGUUGGCGUGACCCGGAGCCGAUGGCGGCUUCUCGCCAGCUCGGUUGGUGGAUUCCAUAGUGCCCAUUCGUGUGAGGCGUCGAUAGACAAUUGCAGAUACACCUGAUAUUACAGUACCUCAAAGCAGCCACAUCAUAGGGUCAUCUUUGCCAUUUCUUGCUUGACAUUCCUUCUAUUAACAUGCAGGAUCUUGCCUGUUUGGACCAUACCAAAUCAAGCAGUCCUUUUCCAUGCCUGUAUUCAAGUGGGACGUGAUCAGAUAGCUCCAGAUUCUCCUUAGCAAAAGGUGAACAAAGAAAAGAAAAGGUGAAAGAAAAGAAAAGUACCACUAAGUCAAUAUGCCAAAGGUCUUCCUCAUCAAUACAUAAGCUAUUUCGUCUGGAACUUGUGAAAAGAAAGAUGGGGAGAAUAAAAUGCAAUAUGGAAUAAAUUUGCAUCACUGCAUGGUUACAGUUGAAAACUUUGCUACUAUUUGAAAUGGUUUCUAAGAACCACCGACACGUGCGGUUUUCCCAUGCCUAUUUGUAUUUAUUGAUAACAAAGGAGCAUACCAAAAACUCAAGCGUACAAAAAAGUUGAUCUACUUGCUUGUAUAAAUGAAGACGAUAAUUUUUCAAGGGAAACAAGGUUUUGAGACCAAGCUGCACAGAACCCCUCCAUGUUGAAUUGGCUCUCUGCUUUGACCACGUCUUCAUACAGUGACUGGCUAAGGUUCUGCAUGGGCGCUGGCAUCUCCGAGAAUGUUCCAUGGAGCAGGGAGCUUGUGCUUUGCAGCUCAAAUCCCAACCCAUUAUUACCACUGCUCCCCGUACUGCUACUACUGCUAGGAUUGUUAUUGUCCCAGUAGAAUUGGGCAUUGUGGAUACCAGUGCCUCCAGAGUGUGCAUUGUCUGGUGAUGGAUUGAGGCCUGUUGACGUUGAGAGAGUUGAUGGUGAAACUGGAGGCAUCACAGUGGAAAUUGUGCUGCUACUGGACUCAUUCUGGUUAUACCAGAGUGAAUCCCUACUGCCACCGUUCAUGCUGCUAAAAUCAUUAUUGUAACACAACAGCUGCUGGAACGGGAAAUUUGGAAUUGGGCCUGAUGAACGGCAGCUAGGGAGGUUCUCAUGACCAGAAGUAAGCUGGUCUAGAAAUAAUUCCUUCGGUGGCACCUUCAGACGUGUCAAGCCAGGAGCAGUGCGAGGCUUAGUUACCUUCACUGGCAGAAGCUCUGACGAUUGUGCAGUCUCGCUCAGAAGAUGGCUCAAGUUAUGAAGAGUAACGCCACUUGAUAGGUCAACAUCGCUGGAUUCAGAGGUCCUGUCAGUGCUGAUGGUGGGAGUUGCUUUGCUUCGAUCAACCUCGGCAAGGGGCUUAUGGGUGUUUGGGUCAAUGCCUUUCUGCCGCAGCUUCUUUUUGAUACAAGAGUUCCAGAGAUUCUUGAUCUCAUUGUCAGUUCUUCCAGGCAGUCGUGUUGCAAUUUGAGACCACCUGCUCAUUGAUGUGAAAGAAAAGUCCAUAGUUAAAGGAAGCACAAUUCGAGGUAGUUAAGUCCUAAACUAUAGCAGUGCAAUUGAGCUCAAAUUUACCUGUUUCCGAGAACAGCAUGGAGCUCAACGAUGAGGUCUUCCUCCUCCUGAGAGAAUGCACCUCUCUUAAGGUCAGGCCUCAAGUAGUUUAUCCAUCUCAGCCUGCAGCUUUUGCCACAUCUUUGAAGCCCUGCAAACAAUUCGUUGGGUAGCUAAGAUUUCCGCGGAGACUUAAAUUGACUCGGGAGAAAGAAGAGGAGGUGGAUAAUUGACAAGAAUAAAGUGCAGAAUAUUUUGGAUGUACACCUGCAAGUUUUGGAACGGUGCUCCAGCAGCCAUGGCCAUGCUUGGUUAUGUGGUUCAUGAGCUUCUCAUCCUCCUCAGGUGACCAGAGCCCCUUCCUGAGCUUCUGCUUGUAGCAGCAGGAAUGUCUCCCCAUUGAAGUAAUGCAGAAACUGAAGCUGAAGCCAAGCUCUGCAAUCACACAGCUGGCCCUUCUAAGUAAUUCCCACAGCACACAACUUUACUUAGGUAUUCCUCUCGAUGAUUCAGAGCUCAAGAGUGGGAUUGCUACGAGGGAACAGUCUAUAGUGGCUCAUAUAUUGGUGCUUGAUAGGGUGGAGCUUGUGGCAGAGUGGCAGCAACAAGUGGCUGAAGAUAUCAGGAUUUGAAGGAAGGCAUAGGUAUGUUACUUUGUACACAAGCCAGUUAAAAGUAAAGGAUGCAUGCCAAAGUUGCAUAAUUUGGAAAAGGAUUGAUGUAGUUUCUCGUGUGAUUAAUGAAUGUGACCUGCAGCUGCUAGUCCAUCACUGCUACUAUGAGCUUUUUCCCUCAGCAACCUCUGCGUCAUGAGCAUUCCAUGCAGGGAAAGUGCACAGUUGGAAAGUCAGUGGAUCACUUCUUACCUGGAGAAAGCUUUGUAUCAAUCAUCGAUGGGCGGCACCAAAUGUUUGUAUUCCAGGACAGAAAGAAUCUUUCCUUUUCUUUAUCUCAAGCAGCCAGCUAUGUUGUUUUUCUUUAGGACCUCCAAGUUCCAAUCAGAAAUCUGUGCCCCAAUCCAAUAAAAUCAUCUCUGGCACCUCUCAAGAUGCUACUAGCAAUCAGCUCUGAGAAUCAGAGCUAUGCUGAUGAUUGCUUUUUGCAGAGGUACAGACAGUAUGAUUUUCUUCACUGUCCGUGUUCUCGCUCAGAAGCAAAUCCCAAUAACACCAGGGCACAUGUUUAUUAGCAUUGGUCUGGUUAUUAUAGAGAGAGGUGUGCUUCUUGUUAAACUAUUUUAUGGUUAUUAUACCGAAAACUCCAGAUGAUGCUUUGUUUGGAGACUGAACAGUUGAGGUAUAAUAAUCUCGGUGAGGUGGCUAACACAGGCAUUUUAUUUCUUAUCCUUGCCCGGAUGCUUGAAAGAAAAAAGGUUUGAUUCUUGAUGAUUGGAAGAUACAAUGGCAUCCUCUUGGUGCCCAUGUGAUUGUGGAUACCCUUCUUGAUUAAACAGGCGCAGAAACUAUUAUAUGGUUUGUACAUUUUUAUAAUCCGGACGAUCUGUACAAUCCGGCUUUUCAUGAAGCUCCGAAGCUUCCUUUGUUCUUUUCUGGAGAUUUUCUUCACCUUUAGACUGACCUGAUAAUAAAAACACUUGUUUAAUAUAAUAUGUGUACAUGAAGAUUACAGUAGGUUGUGUGUUGUCGGGGUCACCCAUGCAAUUAUAUAUGAAAAAAAAAACAGU